GCGGAGGGACUGGGGUGAGAGUGAGUCAGGGAGGGACAAGGCUUUCAUCAGUCAUCCCUGGUGGACCCUCCCAAGAAAACCCUAAGGGGUUCCAAGAGCCUCUCAUUGGGGAAGUGUCCACAGUUGGGAGGGUGACGCACCCCGAACUCCACAGAGACUGAAGCUCCUGGAUCCCACCUCUCGCACACCUGGCCCCUACUUCCUCAUCUGCCUGUACAUCCCUUUAGGAUCCACAGCAUCAAGAACAAGUACCCACCUGGAUAAGGGAAGGCUCUGGGACCCAUUCAGGAUGUUAUUGAUGUUUUUGGAGAUGACGUCCAAGAGGAAGAGUUGGCGUUGCAUGGAGAGAUAAUGAGCUGUGUGGUGAUCAGCCCAGGCCUCAGAAGAAGUAGAUAAGGGGCAACCUCAGAGCCCUUCACCCACUGGACGCCACUGAAGUUUGUUACGGACAGGAUCUCUGGAACAGGCACUACACCCCAUUGUGAUGUCCAGACGCCAGCUGGGUUUCCAGGGGCAACGGGGCUGCCCCAGUUCUGAGCCCAGGGGACCCCAGGAGGCAGAUGUGCUCUGGGGCGUGAGAUCCGUUAAGUCUGCCUCAGGAAAGCUGCAUCCUCCACACUGAAACCACACCGGCAUUAGGACGCUCCACUCAGCCUCUGGAAACACCCACCACUGCCUUCUCCUGGAAAGCACCUGCUCUAGUCCCUGGAGACUCGUAUUAGGGCAGAAUCCAACAGAAGAAUUCCGUGGUCAGCAGAGAAAGCCCCAUCUCAGCAUCCAUGGAGCAGGUGCAUCUGAGCACAAGCCUGGUGGACCAGCCGACAAGCCUAAGACGAGGGCACAGGAAGCCUGGGUAUUGCCCACAAACACUCCAUCCAGUUCUUCCAUGGCCUGCCUUGAGGUCUACCAAGCAUUUAAAAGUCACCUUACCUGCCUGGGUGCAGCUGCAAGAAGAAAAAAGAAUGCUGUUCGUGGAGUCCCUGCUAUGGCACAACAGGUUCAAUGGUAUCAAUGCAGCACCAGGACACAGGUUUGAUCCCCAGCCCCACACAGUGGGUCAUACAUCUGGUGUCAUCAUAGCUGCAGCCUAAGUCACAUCUGUGGCUUGGGUCUGAUCCCUGGCCUAGGAACUCCAACAUAGUUCAUAGAGUGGCCCCCAAAACAAACAAAAAAACAAAACAAAAAGAAAAGAAAAAGAAUGCUAUUAGUUAUAGUUCAUGUGAGAACUCCAAAUGUUUCUUCUUUUUCAAAUUAAAAAAAAAAUUUCUUUAUUUUAGGUUCAUUACAUUUAAUUGUGAAUUUUAGAAGAAGUGGAUUAAUUUUGCCUGAAAAAAGUCCUGCUGAGCUUUUGACUAGGAUUAUGUUCAGUCUCUAAAGUGAUUUGAAGAGAACUGACAUCUUGGCAGUACGACAGGCUUCCAACAUAUGAACCUUUAAUCUUUUCAUUUAUUUAUGGCUUUUUCAAAUUCUCUCAGAAAUUUGGGGGGUGAAGAACACACCAUUAAGAAUGCUAUUUGCAUUGUAUCUCAGGGUUAACAACCCAGCUAGUAUCCAUGAGGCCACAGGUUCCAUCCCUGGCCUUGCUCUGGGUUAAGGAUCCUGUGUUGCUGUCAUCUGUGGUGUAGGUCUCAGACCUGGCUCAGACCCUGCAUUGCUAUGGCUGUGGUGUAGGCCAGCAGCUGCAGUUCCCAUUUGACCCUAGCCUAGGAACUUCCAUAUGCCCUGGCUGUGGCCCUAAAAAGACAAAAGAAAAAAUAUUCUUUGUUUUAUAUAUUUUAUGUAGGUGACCUAUUGGGUGGAGAGAGUGUUUCUUUUCUUACUUUUUGAGCAAACUUUUAGAUUAAAAGUAAAUAAUGAAUUUCAACAAUUUUUUUUUUGCAAAUAGCGAGGUGAUCCUUUUUUCUUUUUCAAUUGUUUAAUAUGACAUUGAUUUUGAAUGUUAACUUAUAUCCUUGGAAUGAUCCUCCUUCAUCAUGAUAUGUUAUCUUUAUUACACAGCUUAAAUACAGCUUGCUAAAUAUGCAUUUAGAAUUUCUGACUCUAUGAUGAAUAUUGGUCUGUAGCUUUCUGUUCUUGUGGUAUUAAUUUGACCGACAGUGUAUUUCAUUUUUCCAGUGGUAUGUGACAGCAUUUACUGUUGUUGUCAUAUGUUUUACUUUUGCAUGUACAUUAUAAACUUCCCAUUACACUCCUGUCAUUUUUGAGUAAACCAAUUAUUUUUAAAGGUAUUAAAAUAAGAACAAAUAGAUGGCUUUAUCAAGGAGCUACCACGGUGUUCUUCACUCUUGUUUAAAUGCAGAAUGUAAAUGCAUUUUCCUUCUGCCUGAAGGAAUUCUUUGGACAUUCAUUAUAGUGCUGGUAUGCUGGUCAUGAAUCCUUGCAAGUUUUGUAUAUCUGAAAAUGCAUUUUCUUCACCGUUGCUUGAUUUAAAGAUAUUUUUGCUAGGUAUAGAACUCUAUGAGAUGAUUUUUGUUUUCCUUUUGUUUGUUUGUUUUUAAGUACUUUAAAUAUGUUUGUUACUGAGAAGAAAUCUAAAGUUAUUUUUGUCUCUCCAUACAAAAUGAUUUUCUUUUCUUCUGUUACUUGUAAAAACUUUAUAUCUAUCAUUCGUUUUGAGCAAUUUCAUUAUGAUGUGCCUUGGGAAAUUUUUUUCUCAUCUUUUACACUUAGAGUUUGUUGAGAUUGUUGCAUCUAUAGCCUUAUAGCUUUUUUUUUUUUUAAAGUCUUGAAAAUUUCUGGCCAUUAUUCAUUCAAAUUAUUUUUCAGUCCUCUUCUCUUUCCUCUCCUUUGGCAAUUCCAAUCACCCAUGUAUUAGGAUAUUUGAUAUGGUACUAUAGUUCAUUUCUGCUCUUUUUUCUCUGUAUAUGCAGUUGACCUUUGAAGAACUUAGGGGGUUAGGGACAGUUGCAUUUGGAAUAGCCCCCUGUAACUUUAUAGUUUGCCCUAAAUACCCAUGGUUUUGCCUCUGCAGAUGCAACCAACCACAGACCAUAUAGUACUCCAGUAUUUAUUUUUAAAAAUCUUGUUGUGUUCCCAUUGUGGCUCAGUGGAAACAAGCCCGACUAGUAUCCAUGAGGAUGUGAGUUUGAUCCCUGGCCUUGCUCAGUGGGUUAAGGAUCUGGCAUUUCCAUGAGCUGUGGUAUGGGUCACAGGCAUAGCUUGGAUCCCACCUUGCUGUGGCUGUGAUGUAGGCUGGCAGCUGCAGCUCCAAUUCGACCCCUGGCCUGGGUGUGGCCCUUAAAAAAGCAAAAAAAAAAAAUCUUGGCAUUAGCAUAUUCACACUGAGGUCUAUGGAAUGACUGGCCAGUGGAGACCUGUGGUCUAUCACAGAGAACUCUACCCAAUAUGCUGUGAUCAUCUAUGUGGGAAAAGAUUCUGAAAGAGAAUGGAUCAAUCCCUUGGUUUUACAGCAGAAAGUAUCACCACCUUGUAAAUCAACUCUACCUCAAUAAAACUCAAAUCAAAAAAAAAAAAAAAGUAACA
rnacentral:lncRNA from 1 species